rfam:Leifsonia aquatica ATCC 14665 genomic scaffold Scaffold369, whole genome shotgun sequence.
UCUAGCGCCUGACACCGGACUCCCAGCCAUACGCCCUGACGCACUUCCCCGGUGUCAGGUCGGAAUGGAUGGGGAUCCGGAAUCAGGGGCACGGGCCC